CCUCAAAACUAUAUUUGUAGAACCAGAUUUUUUAUGUCAGUUACCAGGAAUAGAUGAAUAAAUGAAAUUGUAUUAUGUCCUGCAAGUAAAAAAGUAUAAAUACAACCUAUAAGGAAAAGGAACAAGCAUAGCACUAGAAGACUGUAGGUCACAUGUAGGGUACUGCACUGUUGGUACAAGAUCUUUUAAUUUCAGUGAAUGUCACAGAUGUUGGAAAGAUCAAGUCAAGGACUUGUGUUCUCGCCUAAGAGGAAAACUAAACUAAGCACGUAGGUGGAGAUAAGGGUUUAGACUUGGCAAACACAGGUAUAAAAAAUUGGUAUAAAAACUACCUGACCCUUUCCUGAGCAACAUUUAACGCUCCAGACACAGUCCUUAAGAAACGUUUGUCCUUAAUCCAGUCGCGCAGACUUCUUGGAGCUGGAUGCGAAGGUGGGCAGUAGAAGAGAUUUGAAGUGAUAGCUCACUGGUGGAAAGAAAGGACUCCAUUGUCAUCUCGCCUGUCUCCCUGAAACAGCUUUCUGUGCUUCUGAAGACAAAAAAGAAAGAAAGAAAGAGAGAGAGUGGAGUUUCGCACAGCAGCUGCUCCUGUGGAUGUUUCUGCAUUACGUCAAUGCCAACGAAGAAAGGGAAGGAAGAAUCUUAAAACAGAGAGAGCGAGGAAUUAAAGGAGAGAGAGAGAGGCACGCUCCACAAAUCGAGCCGGGGUUUUAUGGCGCUUUAUCUCCUCUGAAGUUCUCGUGACAAGGCUGUCAUUGUUACCGGAGCAGGAGGAAGAGGGGGAGCGGGUGAGCCGAGUUGAAUAGACCCCCCCCCCCAGCAUUCCCGGGACACGGGGACGACAGCCCGGCAAGGGCUCAACACCGCGUCCUUAAUUAUCCGCGGGUCAACAUGUUCACGGGUUGGCUCGUGGUGGUGCUGGUGGUGAUCAUUCUGACGAGGCGCCUUCUGUGGUACUGCAUCUGUGCGCUCGUCGGGGAGAAGUUAGGAUUCCAGAGGCGGGUGGGGCGGGGGGGUUCAAGGGGGCGGGGGUUAAUGCACGGGGGAAGGGGGGAGGGGGGUAAUAAGGCGGUAGGACAGAAGCACUGAGCUCCUGUCUGAAACAGCAUUCUGAGUGAGCUUCCUCUCAUUUAAUGCCUCUUACAGUAAAUUACCAUGAAUUACAACUGAACACACAGAUCUUCCUGCUUUACCGACUCACAUUUGGUGUUUGUAAUUACUUCCUAAUUCAAGUUGGCUGUUCAGUCCCACAGGAGAUACCAUUGUAAUGCUUGUUGGAAGGGAAAUUUGUGGCAGAACUUACAGUACCCAUGAUGUAAUCAGGAUGAAUGCUCUGUGAAACAAUAACAUUGUUAAUAAAUCUAAAUAUACUCA